AGGUGAUCCAACCGCAGGUUCCCCUACGGUUACCUUGUUACGACUUCACCCCAGUCAUGAAUCACAAAGUGGUAAGCGCCCUCCCGAAGGUUAAGCUACCUACUUCUUUUGCAACCCACUCCCAUGGUGUGACGGGCGGUGUGUACAAGGCCCGGGAACGUAUUCACCGUGGCAUUCUGAUCCACGAUUACUAGCGAUUCCGACUUCAUGGAGUCGAGUUGCAGACUCCAAUCCGGACUACGACGCACUUUAUGAGGUCCGCUUGCUCUCGCGAGGUCGCUUCUCUUUGUAUGCGCCAUUGUAGCACGUGUGUAGCCCUGGUCGUAAGGGCCAUGAUGACUUGACGUCGUCCCCACCUUCCUCCAGUUUAUCACUGGCAGUCUCCUUUGAGUUCCCGGCCGGACCGCUGGCAACAAAGGAUAAGGGUUGCGCUCGUUGCGGGACUUAACCCAACAUUUCACAACACGAGCUGACGACAGCCAUGCAGCACCUGUCUCACGGUUCCCGAAGGCACAUUCUCAUCUCUGAAAACUUCCGUGGAUGUCAAGACCAGGUAAGGUUCUUCGCGUUGCAUCGAAUUAAACCACAUGCUCCACCGCUUGUGCGGGCCCCCGUCAAUUCAUUUGAGUUUUAACCUUGCGGCCGUACUCCCCAGGCGGUCGACUUAACGCGUUAGCUCCGGAAGCCACGCCUCAAGGGCACAACCUCCAAGUCGACAUCGUUUACGGCGUGGACUACCAGGGUAUCUAAUCCUGUUUGCUCCCCACGCUUUCGCACCUGAGCGUCAGUCUUCGUCCAGGGGGCCGCCUUCGCCACCGGUAUUCCUCCAGAUCUCUACGCAUUUCACCGCUACACCUGGAAUUCUACCCCCCUCUACGAGACUCAAGCUUGCCAGUAUCAGAUGCAGUUCCCAGGUUGAGCCCGGGGAUUUCACAUCUGACUUAACAAACCGCCUGCGUGCGCUUUACGCCCAGUAAUUCCGAUUAACGCUUGCACCCUCCGUAUUACCGCGGCUGCUGGCACGGAGUUAGCCGGUGCUUCUUCUGCGGAUAACGUCAAUGAGCAAAGGUAUUAACUUUACUCCCUUCCUCCCCGCUGAAAGUACUUUACAACCCGAAGGCCUUCUUCAUACACGCGGCAUGGCUGCAUCAGGCUUGCGCCCAUUGUGCAAUAUUCCCCACUGCUGCCUCCCGUAGGAGUCUGGACCGUGUCUCAGUUCCAGUGUGGCUGGUCAUCCUCUCAGACCAGCUAGGGAUCGUCGCCUUGGUGAGCCGUUACCCCACCAACAAGCUAAUCCCAUCUGGGCACAUCCGAUGGCAAGAGGCCCGAAGGUCCCCCUCUUUGGUCUUGCGACAUUAUGCGGUAUUAGCUACCGUUUCCAGUAGUUAUCCCCCUCCAUCAGGCAGUUUCCCAGACAUUACUCACCCGUCCGCCACUCGUCAGCGAAUCAGCAAGCUGAUUCCUGUUACCGUUCGACUUGCAUGUGUUAGGCCUGCCGCCAGCGUUCAAUCUGAGCCAUGAUCAAACUCU
rnacentral:rRNA from 2 species